rnacentral:rRNA from 1 species
GUUCGUGGAGUGAUCUGUCUGCUUAAUUGCGUUUCGCAAUGGUCAACUAUUGACAGCUAUCAUUUGUGCACCAAUGAUGCGUUCGCUUGCUGUACUUUUGUGCAGUGAGUUUGUUAGCGCUGUUGGGUUUUUGUCACUUAUGUAGCGGGUUGGCCUGGAAAGCAACGAACGUGACCGCAGCCUCUUGUUGCCUCUUUAAUAGUUGCAUUUCGGUGCAAUAAACAGAGUGCUAACUAGAGGGACCGCUCGACAUUUGUUAAAACAGAGGAAGGUUGCGGCAAUAACAGGUC